rnacentral:rRNA from 1 species
GCCAUGUCCGCGUGCAGGACGAAGGCCUUCGGGUUGUAAACUGCUUUUGUACGGAACGAAAAGGUCUCUAUUAAUACUAGGGGCUCAUGACGGUACCGUAAGAAUAAGCACCGGCUAACUACGUGCCAGCAGCCGCGGUAAUACGUAGGGUGCAAGCGUUAAUCGGAAUUACUGGGCGUAAAGCGUGCGCAGGCGGUUAUAUAAGACAGAUGUGAAAUCCCCGGGCUCAACCUGGGAACUGCAUUUGUGACUGUAUAGCUGGAGUGCGGCAGAGGGGGAUGGAAUUCCGCGUGUAGCAGUGAAAUGCGUAGAUAUGCGGAGGAACACCGAUGGCGAAGGCAAUCCCCUGGGCCUGCACUGACGCUCAUGCACGAAAGCGUGGGGAGCAAACAGGAUUAGAUACCCUGGUAGUCCACGCCCUAAACGAUGUCAACUGGUUGUUGGGUCUUCACUGACUCAGUAACGAAGCU